GAUGAACGCUGGCGGCGUGCCUAAUACAUGCAAGUCGAGCGAACAGACGAGGAGCUUGCUCCUUUGACGUUAGCGGCGGACGGGUGAGUAACACGUGGAUAACCUACCUAUAAGACUGGGAUAACUUCGGGAAACCGGAGCUAAUACCGGAUAACAUGUUGAACCGCAUGGUUCAACAGUGAAAGACGGUCUUGCUGUCACUUAUAGAUGGAUCCGCGCCGCAUUAGCUAGUUGGUAAGGUAACGGCUUACCAAGGCAACGAUGCGUAGCCGACCUGAGAGGGUGAUCGGCCACACUGGAACUGAGACACGGUCCAGACUCCUACGGGAGGCGGCAGUAGGGAAUCUUCCGCAAUGGGCGAAAGCCUGACGGAGCAACGCCGCGUGAGUGAAGAAGGUCUUCGGAUCGUAAAACUCUGUUAUUAGGGAAGAACAAAUGUGUAAGUAACUAUGCACGUCUUGACGGUACCUAAUCAGAAAGCCACGGCUAACUACGUGCCAGCAGCCGCGGUAAUACGUAGGUGGCAAGCGUUAUCCGGAAUUAUUGGGCGUAAAGCGCGCGUAGGCGGUUUUUUAAGUCUGAUGUGAAAGCCCACGGCUCAACCGUGGAGGGUCAUUGGAAACUGGAAAACUUGAGUGCAGAAGAGGAAAGUGGAAUUCCAUGUGUAGCGGUGAAAUGCGCAGAGAUAUGGAGGAACACCAGUGGCGAAGGCGACUUUCUGGUCUGUAACUGACGCUGAUGUGCGAAAGCGUGGGGAUCAAACAGGAUUAGAUACCCUGGUAGUCCACGCCGUAAACGAUGAGUGCUAAGUGUUAGGGGGUUUCCGCCCCUUAGUGCUGCAGCUAACGCAUUAAGCACUCCGCCUGGGGAGUACGACCGCAAGGUUGAAACUCAAAGGAAUUGACGGGGACCCGCACAAGCGGUGGAGCAUGUGGUUUAAUUCGAAGCAACGCGAAGAACCUUACCAAAUCUUGACAUCCUCUGACCCCUCUAGAGAUAGAGUUUUCCCCUUCGGGGGACAGAGUGACAGGUGGUGCAUGGUUGUCGUCAGCUCGUGUCGUGAGAUGUUGGGUUAAGUCCCGCAGCGAGCGCAACCCUUAAGCUUAGUUGCCAUCAUUAAGUUGGGCACUCUAAGUUGACUGCCGGUGACAAACCGGAGGAAGGUGGGGAUGACGUCAAAUCAUCAUGCCCCUUAUGAUUUGGGCUACACACGUGCUACAAUGGACAAUACAAAGGGUAGCGAAACCGCGAGGUCAAGCAAAUCCCAUAAAGUUGUUCUCAGUUCGGAUUGUAGUCUGCAACUCGACUACAUGAAGCUGGAAUCGCUAGUAAUCGUGGAUCAGCAUGCUACGGUGAAUACGUUCCCGGGUCU
rnacentral:rRNA from 1 species